AACGAACGCUGGCGGCAUGCCUAACACAUGCAAGUCGAACGAGACCUUCGGGUCUAGUGGCGCACGGGUGCGUAACGCGUGGGAACCUGCCCUUAGGUUCGGAAUAACUCCCCGAAAGGGGUGCUAAUACCGGAUAAUGUCUUCGGACCAAAGAUUUAUCGCCUUUGGAUGGGCCCGCGUUGGAUUAGCUAGUUGGUAGGGUAAAAGCCUACCAAGGCGACGAUCCAUAGCUGGUCUGAGAGGAUGAUCAGCCACACUGGGACUGAGACACGGCCCAGACUCCUGGGAGGCAGCAGUGGGGAAUAUUGGACAAUGGGCGAAAGCCUGAUCCAGCAAUGCCGCGUGAGUGAUGAAGGCCUUAGGGUUGUAAAGCUCUUUUACCCGGGAUGAUAAUGACAGUACCGGGAGAAUAAGCUCCGGCUAACUCCGUG
rnacentral:rRNA from 1 species